CAGUGAAUGACAUUGCUGAUAUCUGGUGCAUGGAGAAAAUCACACACACCUGCUGAAUUCCUUACCCCUGUAGGUGAGGGGUAUCUAGUUAUCAUUCUGUCCUAACUCCAUGGAAUCCCAUGAAGCUAAGCCAGCAAAACUGUCCAUGAUAUUUAGCUCAUUAACAGUGAUCAAAGCAAUGGAGCUUGCUUUGGGAUACUAGGGUUAUGUUUUGUAAUAAAAUUUUGCGGUUUUCUCUACCCAGACUCUGGAACAUAAAUCACAGCUUGAACUAAAAAGCAGUCUGUGACAUUACAAAUAUACAGAUAUCCCUCUUCCUCUCUGAAAAAAAGAAAUUGGGGUAAAUAAAUUUUUAAAGGAUAAAAUUUUCUGCCUGGGAAGAGAUUCUGUUGCAAAAAAGCAACUACAUAGCGAUACUUCAUGAAUUGUUGUGAAGACCAGACCCGUAGUAUGAAAUGAUGCUCGGAGCCACUAGAGGAUAUUUUGCUGACUGGUUUGUACCUGAAGUUCACUCAUAGAAGAUUUCUCUCUUGGAAUUCAAGAUAACUCAGGCCAAAUCCAUAAAAAACCCCAAGAAGCUGCAGUCCAGAAGUAUCUCCAAGAUCACAGCAACUGGAAAACACAAACUUCCACUCUGAACACCUUGAGGAAGGCUGGAGACAGUGUGGCCCCAGCCCCAGGCUACAGCACACUUUUACUCAGCAUAGCCCAAUCACAGGCAAAUACAUCUGUAUCAAAAUCCAGGACUGUUUUAAUUUGCAUGUGUUUGUCAAUAACCACGAGUGACAAAGAAAACACAAGUGGAAUUGCUGAUGUCACACCCCCUUCACAGAAAGCAUAAGUGAUAGAAAAGUAAGAGGAUUUUGUUCCAGCUGCAUCUCCUGAAAGUCCCAUCGUUACGGAUGUUCUUCUGAGCCAGAGAUACUGCUGUGUAAUUUGUUCUGUAUCUGUAGCUGAAAUAGGUUUAUUUAAAUUUUUCAUUUAUCCAUAUUUGUCUGUUUUAAAGCCUGUGCUAAACCCUUCAUGCUUACAGAACUUCUCUGCCA
rnacentral:lncRNA from 1 species